rnacentral:rRNA from 1 species
ACAGCCCAGACCGUCGUCUAAGGUCCCGAAGCGUGUGCUAAGUGGGAAAGGAUGUGGAGUCGCAUAGACAGCCAGGAGGUUGGCUCAGAAGCAGCCAUCCUUGAAAGAGUGCGUAACAGCUCACUGGUCUAGUGGUUCCGCGCCGACAAUGUAGCGGGGCUCAAGCACACCACCGAAGACGCGGCAGCAAUCUUCAUGGUUGCUGGGUAGGAGAGCGUCCUGCGAGGGGCGAAGCGGCCGGGUAACCGUGCCGUGGACUUCGUGGGAGUGAGAAUGCAGACAUGAGUAGCGAGAGACGGGUGAGGAUCCCGUCCGCUGGAUGACCAAGGGUUCCGGGGCCACGUUCGUCGUCCCCGGGUGAGUCGGGUCCUAAGGCGAGGCCGACAGGCGUAGUCGAAUGGAUGAACGGGUGGAUAUUCCCGUACCGACCAUGGACCGGCAAAACCGAGACGGUGAGUACUAACCUCCGCCUCGUGGUGGUUCCUUCCUUCGGGUUGGUGUCGCCGCGUGGUGUUGGGAGCGUAGCCGCAGUAGGUCAGCGCAGGGGUGACACGGAAUGGGAGCCGGCCGCGGAGGUGGUUUUCCGUGGUCAAGCACGCAGCCAGUCAUGUAGGCAAAUCCGCAUGGCGCGCAUGGCGAGGUGUGAUGAUGGGAGCCGUUAUGGCUCGAUAUCCGGUUGUCCAGGCCGUCGAGAAAAGCCUCGGCGUGAGGGCCAUGGCCGCCCGUACCCCAAACCGACACUGGUGGUCAGGUAGAGAAUACCAAGGCGAUCGAGCGAAUCCUGGUCAAGGAACUCGGCAAAUCACUCCCGUGCCUUCGGUAUAAGGGAGACCCACUGGGGUGAAGGACCUUGCGUCCGGAGCUUUGGUGGGUGGCACAGACCAGGGGGUAGCGACUGUUUACCAAAAACACAGGUGCAUGCGAAGGCGAAAGCCGCUGUAUAUGCACUGACGCCUGCCCGGUGCCGGAAGGUUAAGAGGAUCCGUCAGUCCUUCGGGAUGAAGCGGUGAAUUCAAGCCCCGGUAAACGGCGGUGGUAACUAUAACCAUCCUAAGGUAGCGAAAUUCCUUGUCGGGUAAGUUCCGACCUGCACGAAUGGCGUAACGACUUCCCCACUGUCUCGACCAGGAGCUCGGCGAAAUUGCAGUACGAGUAAAGAUGCUCGUUAAGCGCAGAAGGACGAAAAGACCCCGGGACCUUUACUAUACCUUGGUAUUGGCGUUAGGCGCGGAUUGUGUAGCAUAGGCGGGAGGCUUCGAAGCGUGGGCGCCAGCUCAUGUGGAGCCGCAAGGUGAAAUACCGCUCUGUUCUCGUUUGACGUCUAACCUCGACAAGUCAUCCUUGUCAGGGACAGUGCCUGGCGGGUAGUUCAACUGGGGCGGUUGCCUCCCAAAGAGUAACGGAGGCGCUCAAAGGUCCGCUCAGCCCGGUUGGCAAUCGGGUGUCGAGUGUAAUCGCACAAGCGGGCUUGACUGCGAGGACGACGGUCCGAGCAGGGACGAAAGUCGGAGAUAGUGAUCCGGUGCCGGCGCACGGGCGCGGCAUCGCUCAACGGAUAAAAGGUACCCCGGGGAUAACAGGCUGAUCAUUCCCAAGAGUCCAUAUCGACGGGAUGGUUUGGCACCUCGAUGUCGGCUCGUCGCAUCCUGGGGCUG